rnacentral:rRNA from 1 species
CCUACGGGUGGCAGCAGUGGGGAAUCUUGCGCAAUGGGCGGAAGCCUGACGCAGCGACGCCGCGUGCGGGACGAAGGCCUUCGGGUCGUAAACCGCUUUCAGCAGGGACGAGGCCCUCACGGUGACGGUACCUGCAGAAGAAGCCCCGGCUAACUCCGUGCCAGCAGCCGCGGUAUUACGUAGGGGGCGAGCUUUAUCCGGAUUCAUUGGCCGUAAAGCGCGGGUAGGGGGCUUGUUAGGUCGGGGGUAAAAUACCGGGGCUCAACCCCGGUCCGCCCCCGAUACCGGCAGGCUUGAGUCUGGUAGGGGAAGGCGGAAUUGCCGGUGUAGCGGGGAAAUGCGCAGAUAUUGGGAAGAACACCGGCGGCGAAGGCGGCCGUCUGGGCCACGACUGACGCUGAGGCGCGAAAGCGAGGGGAGCGAACAGGAUUAGAUACCCUGGUAGUC